UACGUAGGGUGCAAGCGUUAUCCGGAAUUAUUGGGCGUAAAGAGCUCGUAGGCGGUUUGUCGCGUCUGCUGUGAAAACUGGGGGCUCAACCCCCAGCCUGCAGUGGGUACGGGCAGACUAGAGUGCGGUAGGGGAGAUUGGAAUUCCUGGUGUAGCGGUGGAAUGCGCAGAUAUCAGGAGGAACACCGAUGGCGAAGGCAGAUCUCUGGGCCGUAACUGACGCUAAGGAGCGAAAGCAUGGGGAGCGAACAGG
rnacentral:rRNA from 1 species